rnacentral:rRNA from 1 species
AGGACGAACGCUGGCGGCGUGCUUAACACAUGCAAGUCGAGCGAGAUUCAACCAGUGGCAACACUGGGGAAGAUCGAGCGGCGAACGGGUGAGUAACACGUGAGCAACCUGCCCCGAAGACUGGGAUAACACCGGGAAACCGGUGCUAAUACCGGAUACCCCCACCAGGCCGCAUGACCAGGUGAGGAAAGGAAUUUCGCUUCGGGAGGGGCUCGCGGGCUAUCAGCUUGUUGGUGGGGUAACGGCCUACCAAGGCGACGACGGCUAGCUGGUCUGAGAGGACGACCAGCCACACUGGGACUGAGACACGGCCCAGACUCCUACGGGAGGCAGCAGUGGGGAAUCUUGCGCAAUGGGCGAAAGCCUGACGCAGCAACGCCGCGUGGGGGAUGAAGGCCUUCGGGUCGUAAACCCCUUUCAGCAGGGACGAAACUGACGGUACCUGCAGAAGAAGCCCGGCCAACUACGUGCCAGCAGCCGC